AUUGAACGCUGGCGGCGGGCCUAACACAUGCAAGUCGAACGAGUGGCGGACGGGUGAGUAAUGUCUGGGAAACUGCCUGAUGGAGGGGGCUAACUACUGGAAACGGUAGCUAAUACCGCAUACCAUCGGAUGUGCCCAGAUGGGAUUAGCUAGUAGGUGGGGUAAAGGCUAACCUAGGCGACGAUCCAUAGCUGGUAUGAGAGGAUGACCAGCCACACUGGAACUGAGACACGGGCCAGACUCCUACGGGAGGCAGCAGUGGGGAAUAUUGCACAAUGGGCGCAAGCCUGAUGCAGCCAUGCCGCGUGGAUGAAGAAGGCCUUCGGGUUGUAAAGUACUUUCAGCGGGGAGGCGUUACCCGAAGAAGAAGCAACGGCUAACUCCGUGCCAGCAGCCGCGGUAAUAC
rnacentral:rRNA from 1 species